rnacentral:rRNA from 1 species
UCAGGACGAACGCUGGCGGCGUGCCUAAUACAUGCAAGUCGAACGGUCUUUCUAUGGAAGCUUGCUUCCACUGAGAAGAUAGUGGCGAACGGGUGAGUAACACGUGGGUAACCUGCCCAUAAGAGGGGGGAUAACAUCCGGAAACGGGUGCUAAUACCGCAUAGUUUUCUUGAUCGCAUGAUUGGGAAAGGAAAGACGGCCUUUGUGCUGUCGCUUAUGGAUGGACCCGCGGCGUAUUAGUUAGUUGGUGAGGUAACGGCUCACCAAGACGAUGAUACGUAGCCGACCUGAGAGGGUGAUCGGCCACAUUGGGACUGAGACACGGCCCAAACUCCUACGGGAGGCAGCAGUAGGGAAUCUUCCGCAAUGGACGAAAGUCUGACGGAGCAACGCCGCGUGAGUGAAGAAAAGGUUUUCGGAUCGUAAAACUCUGUUGUCAGAGAAGAACAAGUUGGAGAGUAACUGCUCCAGCCUUGACGGUAUCUGACCAGAAAGCCACGGCUAACUACGUGCCAGCAGCCGC